UACGAAGGGGGCUAGCGUUGUUCGGAAUUACUGGGCGUAAAGCGUAUGCAGGCGGACUUUUAAGUCGGGGGUGAAAUCCCGAGGCUCAACCUCGGAACUGCCUUCGAUACUGGAAGUCUUGAGUCCGGGAGAGGUGAGUGGAACUCCGAGUGUAGAGGUGAAAUUCGUAGAUAUUCGGAAGAACACUAGUGGCGAAGGCGGCUCACUGGCCCGGUACUGACGCUGAGAUACGAAAAGCGUGGGGAGCCAAACAGGG
rnacentral:rRNA from 1 species